AUUGACCGCUGGCGGCAGGCCUAACACAUGCAAGUCGAGCGAGCGGCGGACGUGUGAAUAAUACCUGGGAAUUGCCCAGUAGAGGGGGAUAACAGUUAGAAAGGGCUGCUAAUACCGCAUACGAUUGUGAUGCAUAGGUGGGAUUAGCUAGUUGGUGAGGUAAUGGCUCACAAAGGCGACGAUCCCUAGCUGGUCUGAGAGGAUGAUCAGCCACACUGGAACUGAGACACGGUCCAGACUCCUACGGGAGGCAGCAGUGGGGAAUAUUGCACAAUGGGCGAAACCCUGAUGCAGCCAUGCCGCGUGUGUGAAGAAGGCCUUCGGGUUGUAAAGCACUUUCAGCGAGGAGGCGUUACGCGCAGAAGAAGCACCGGCUAACUCCGUGCCAGCAGCCGCGGUAAUAC
rnacentral:rRNA from 1 species